AACAGGCCCUUGCCCUCUUUUUUUGCCUCCUUUUUUUUUUCAUCUACCGCAUGCUGGAGCUUGCGCUUUCUCUUUGGCUUUUGCAAGAGAGUUUUUUGGACAGAGUUAAUUAUGCUCAGGCUCUGUUGUUUCUAUCGGCCCAUCGCGUAUAUCAUUUCAAAAGAUAAUUGUUAAAUUCAUUCAAAUUGGGAAAUUUUAAAGUCAAUCUUCAUAAAUUUUAACAAAGUUGAAAUCCUCGAUUUUGGGAAUGCAAAAUACUCUUUCCCUACUACUGGUUCCAGUCUUUUUCGGGAUUGUUUAUUUAUGAAAGUCUCCCUUCUACUUGUAGAUGUCAAUAAAAUAACUUUGCGUAUCAAUGAGUAUUUUCGGGCAAGCUCUCUGUUGUCUGCCCCCCUCUUGCAAACGCGUCAGAUUUGUGCAGCUGCCACGCCCAGGAAAUAGUGAACUUCAAUUGGCUGGCAAUUAGCGAUGAUUGUUAAAGAGCUCUUGCUGUGCGCUUUAUCAGACUUUUAUGGACUGGCGUGGACGCAGCUGGGCAGUCGGACAGAUGGACAGGUGGACAGACCUUUCCGCCUAGACGCUGGCGACCAAAGGCGACCCGUUAAGCAAAUAGGAAGGAAACAAACAUGGUCCAAAAAGCAGAACAGAACCAGAACCAGAACUCGAACCAGAACCAGAACCAAGAGCAAACAGAACCAGUGAAGCAAGUCGCGUCGCGUCACCUGCGUGCGUGUGUGUGUGUGUGUGUGAGUGUGUGUGUGUGUGUGCUAGCCAGGUGUAAGCUGUCAGUGGCAAGGCCAAAAAGGGGGCUUAAGAGAGGGGCCAGGCAGGCAGGCCGGUUAGCAACAACAAAUGACGGAAACGUUUGGCCAGCGCGAACAUGGGAAAUGACACUAGGAAAUCGCUUGUAAACAACUCGCUCAGUGACUGUGCGCAGGUGUGUGUGUGUGUGUGAGUGUGUGUGGAAUGACCGACAUCAUCAUCAACACCAUCAACACCAUCAUCAUCAUCAUCAUCAUCAUCAUCAUCAUCAUGGCGUUAUCAUCAUUGUGCAACUGAAAUGUUGCCCAGCUUUUGAGAUUUGUGAUAACGUCUCAUAUGCAAAUUCUGUCACGUCUGCCGCGGAAGACGACGCUUAGACGUGGCCGUCGUAUAGGUGCCCCCGGCCAGAUUAUGGAUAUGAAGUGCCAGUUGAAGUGGCCAGCGAUAAGAAUUAUUAUUGCCAAACGUUUGCUGAUAAGCGCAAUCAGAGCGAAAACUAGACACACAGAGAAAACGAAAAAAAAAAAAA